rnacentral:rRNA from 1 species
CAGUAGCCGCGGGAAUACGAAGGGUGCAAGCGUUAAUCGGAAUUACUGGGCGUAAAGCGCGCGUAGGUGGUUUGGUAAGAUGGAUGUGAAAUCCCCGGGCUCAACCUGGGAACUGCAUCCAUAACUGCCUGACUAGAGUACGGUAGAGGGUGGUGGAAUUUCCUGUGUAGCGGUGAAAUGCGUAGAUAUAGGAAGGAACACCAGUGGCGAAGGCGACCACCUGGACUGAUACUGACACUGAGGUGCGAAAGCGUGGGGAGCAAACAGGAUUAGAUACCCGAGUAGUCCCUGUCUCUUAUAC